UGGUUUCUAAAAAUGUUCACUUGAAAACACUGCUUCCUCUGCGGCAAUAGAACACCGUGUUGACAACAAAUUCCGGUGAUGUCUCUGCAGAGCUGGCCCUGCACGCAGUCCCACGUGAUGUCUUUUUGCAUCUCCUCAGACCCCUCCUGAGCCCAUCCGGUGGGCAGAACCUAGCCAAGGUCUCCGGGACAGGAGCUGACUCCCACUUGCUCCCAACACCUCGGAUGCCCCAUGCCUAAGGGCACAGCAACCCAAGAAGGGAGGAACACACAAUUCAUGAGGCCUCCAAGGGCUGUGGUCAACUCCACUGACAAGCACCGCCCAGGAAGAUGUGAGCGUAUGACUCCUGGACGUGGAAAGAGUGUUGGCCCAGCCUGGAACUUGGCUCCAGGAUGUCUAAGCAGCCGUGAGUGUUUCCUGAAUCCCUCCCUCCGAUUGCGAGUGGCCCACAGCUGCCACCCUCUGCACUCAGUGACAGCACUUACCCUGCCCCCACAAGCCGUCCCCUGAUGGAAGGCCCAGAGCUACAAACCAGGCCAAGGCCCCUGGGAUGAUCGGACAAUCUGGGCUCUGGGCUGCUCCUCCACAUGGGCACAGGAAGCCAGACGUCUCAGAGUAUUUGUACUAACCGGUGCCCCCAGAAGCACAAAGGGAACAUGAUGCACCAUGUGCUGAGAUUUCCCAUUGAAUCCCAACAUUCUCUCACUAAACUGGGUGAUGGGAGCAUAAGGGGCUGCAUUCCAAGUAUGAUUAUUUGAUACUUUGACUUCUUACUUGCCCAUUCUUUAUUGAUACAUAGCUGUAGUUUACCUGCAGCAGCUGAGAAUAGUUCAGCAUUUUUAAUCUGUUAUAAAGGACAAUCGCUGGACCUUGACUUAGAUUUCCUCUUCUGUCUCUGCCUCUGUCCCUGAGGCUUGGGGAGAGGUCUACUCCUUUGACUACUCUGUAAAAUCUGGGUAGAGAUGCUGCCCAAAGAAGUAGGAGCUAAGAGGAGGCUAUGGGGGAAACCAGACUGAGGACUGAGGUCUGGGCUGAGACAAAGCAUGGGCGUGGGUGUGGAAGGGGAGGUGGAUUUGAAGGACACUGCAGAGAGACCAUCAACAGUCCCUGGAACCUAUGGUCCACUUUCCCAGGGCUGUCAUUGUGAGUUUGCUUCCUUCCCCCUCACUCUGUCACUCCUCCCCCAGCCCUCCCAGAGAAUCCACUGGGACACAGAAAGGAAAGAGGACAUUCUAUUCCAGUGAGUCACCAGGCCCCUGACUUUCUGGCCUGUUCUCCAGCCCCUCCCUCUUGCCUCACUGACUCCCCCACCCCACCCCAGCUUUGCCGGCCUCUGCUUCCGCCUCAGAUCCCAGGCACAGGCUGAAGGCCUCAGAUUUCCUGCCUCUCUGUGCACAGCAGCAGAAGUUAAUAGAGCAUGAUCCCAGCUUUGACAGGACAGUAUCACUGUAAUUCACCUCAUUUUAGGCAAGAGGAAAUUGAAGCCCAGAGGGUGCAAGCACCU